AGACACAACGGAAAUAGGAAAAGACACAACGGAAAUAGGAAAAGACACAACGGAAAUGUUCCUGGGGAGACAAUAACCCGACGGACCAUUUGCACGAACCAAAACAUGCUAGCCAGUGCGCUGGGACUGCGAGACACUUCAAAGAAGUGGAGGAGAGGUUAAGAUGUAUUGUCCAUUCUGUGGAUUCCAGUUUGAGAACUUGACAAAAUUUUGCUGUUCCUGUGGAAAAGACAUAAGUUUUGUACCAGCUAAAGAUGCUUCCACAGAACAAGAACACUCAAGAGCCAAGACAGUUGUUCAGCAGUUCUUCAAGUACCGUGAAGGUAAAGAGGCAGAAAGGAGGAUGUUCUCAAAAUCCAAAAAGAAAUCAAUGAAAACAGUGAAGAUUUCUGUUGGGAUCAUGAACAAACAAAAGACUGGCAUGAGACCCAUAAGAGGGAAAUCACUACCAUUACAUGUUGACCCAAGCUGGUCAUCUGAGAGGCUGUUGGGUGCUGCCAU